rnacentral:rRNA from 1 species
GACGAACGCUGGCGGCGUGCUUAACACAUGCAAGUCGAACGGAAAGGCCCUGCUGUUGCUGCGCGCUCGAGUGGCGCACGGGUGAGUAACACGUGAGUAACCUGCCCCUGUCUUUGGGAUAUCUUCAGGAAACUCGAACUCAUACCGGAUAGUAGCUCCUGCUGCAUGGUGUGGGUUGGAAACUUUCGGCGGUUGGGGAUGGACUCGCGGCUUAUCAGCUUGUUGGUGGGGUAGGGGCUUACCCAGGGUCUGACGGGUAGCCGGCCGGGGAGGGGGACCGGCCACAUGGGGACUAAGAUAGGGCCCAGACUCCAAGGGGAGGCAGCGGGGGGAAAUAUGGAACAAUGGGGGGAAGCCGGAGGCGGCAACGCGGGGGGCGGAAUAACGGCCUUCGGGUGGAAAACCGCUUUCGCAGGUGACAAGGCGUGAGUGACGGUAAUGGGUAAAGAAGCACCGGCUAACUACGUG